UACGUAGGGUGCGAGCGUUAAUCGGAAUUACUGGGCGUAAAGCGUGCGUAGGUGGUUCGUUGUGUCUGUGGUGAAAGCCCCGGGCUUAACCUGGGAACGGCCAUGGAAACUGGCGAGCUGGAGUGUGGCAGAGGGGGGUGGAAUUCCGCGUGUAGCAGUGAAAUGCGUAGAGAUGCGGAGGAACACCCGAUGGCGAAGGCAGCCCCCUGGGCUAACACUGACGCUGGAGGCACGAAAGCGUGGGAGCAAACAGG
rnacentral:rRNA from 1 species